CACGUAGGUGAAGUGAUUUACUCAUGGAGCUGAAGUCAGUCGAAGAUACCAGCUGGCUGCAACUGUUUAUUAAAAACACAGCACUGUGCAAACACGAAAGUGGACGUAUACGGUGUGACGCCUGCCCGGUGCCGGAAGGUUAAUUGAUGGGGUCAGCGCAAGCGAAGCUCCUGAUCGAAGCCCCGGUAAACGGCGGCCGUAACUAUAACGGUCCUAAGGUAGCGAAAUUCCUUGUCGGGUAAGUUCCGACCUGCACGAAUGGCGUAAUGAUGGCCAGGCUGUCUCCACCCGAGACUCAGUGAAAUUGAACUCGCUGUGAAGAUGCAGUGUACCCGCGGCAAGACGGAAAGACCCCGUGAACCUUUACUAUAGCUUGACACUGAACAUUGAGCCUUGAUGUGUAGGAUAGGUGGGAGGCUUUGAAGCGUGGACGCCAGUCUGCGUGGAGCCGACCUUGAAAUACCACCCUUUAAUGUUUGAUGUUCUAACGUGGACCCGUGAUCCGGGUUGCGGACAGUGUCUGGUGGGUAGUUUGACUGGGGCGGUCUCCUCCUAAAGAGUAACGGAGGAGCACGAAGGUUGGCUAAUCCUGGUCGGACAUCAGGAGGUUAGUGCAAUGGCAUAAGCCAGCUUGACUGCGAGCGUGACGGCGCGAGCAGGUGCGAAAGCAGGUCAUAGUGAUCCGGUGGUUCUGAAUGGAAGGGCCAUCGCUCAACGGAUAAAAGGUACUCCGGGGAUAACAGGCUGAUACCGCCCAAGAGUUCAUAUCGACGGCGGUGUUUGGCACCUCGAUGUCGGCUCAUCACAUCCUGGGGCUGAAGUAGGUCCCAAGGGUAUGGCUGUUCGCCAUUUAAAGUGGUACGCGAGCUGGGUUUAGAACGUCGUGAGACAGUUCGGUCCCUAUCUGCCGUGGGCGCUGGAGAACUGAGGGGGGCUGCUCCUAGUACGAGAGGACCGGAGUGGACGCAUCACUGGUGUUCGGGUUGUCAUGCCAAUGGCACUGCCCGGUAGCUAAAUGCGGAAGAGAUAAGUGCUGAAAGCAUCUAAGCACGAAACUUGCCCCGAGAUGAGUUCUCCCUGAGACUUUAGGUCUCCUGAAGGAACGUUGAAGACGACGACGUUGAUAGGCCGGGUGUGUAAGCGCAGCGAUGCGUUGAGCUAACCGGUACUAAUGAACCGUGAGGCUUAACCUUACAACGCCGAAG
rnacentral:rRNA from 1 species